ensembl:lncRNA
CUAGGGCUGCACCCGCAGCAUAUGGAGGUUCCAGGCUAGGGUCCACCGGCCUACGCCAAAGCCACAGCAACUUGGGAUCUAAGCCAUGUCUGCGACCUUCACCACAGCUCAGGGCAACGCCCGAUCCCUGACCCACUGAUGGAGGCCAGGGAUCAAACCUGCAACCUCAUGGUUCCUAGUCAGAUUCGUUAACCACUGAGCCACGAUGGGAACUCCUCAUACCUUAGCAAGAAUUCACUUUAAAGUUCAAUUUGUCUUGUCCUCACUCUUAAUUUGGCACGGAGAAGCCCAGCUGAAAAGCUCCGUAUAAAGUACAGAACUGGAAACCCUAGCAGAGAGUCUGAAGGCUUUUGCAAUAUAAGGUCAAUUCUCCAUGCAAUUGUUUUUUCUGCAAACUAAUUGAAUUUUUAAAUUUUUUAUGCUCCCAUUUUCAUUGUUUAUUUGUUAUGCGGAAAAUACUUCCUGCAGGCAGUUUGGCCCGGCUGAGAUUUUCUAUAACCCAGGAAAUGAAGUCACCAGACCUGCAGCUCUGCAAUGACUCUGCCUCCCCUUCCUGAGAGAAGCAGGCACUACAGAGAUUCAAAUCCAAACACAAAGACAAUGACAAAUAAGUGGAAAUAAAAGAGUUUAAUAGUUUGCCGGUGCACUCAGAAUCAUUAUUCCACUUAUUUAAAACUUUAGAGACGUGUGAAAAUCCUAUGUGGUUCGGAACUCUUUUUAUACAGCCGUUGAAAGAUUAUGUAACAUGCAAUUUUGACUCAAAAAGAUGCUAACUACUCGAGUCUUUCAAACUUCUCCUUGUUUUAUAAUUGAAUUUUCUGGCUCACAAAUAAAACACUCCACUUAUAAUUUAUACUUUUAGCUUAUAGCGAAAAGAGCUGCUUUCUUAUAUUUCUACAUCAAAACGUGGACUUGAUUUUGCUACUAUCAUUUCACUUGAGCUUAUUGAUUUUUUUUUUCCCACUCAUGUUCCUAAAAGAUUGGGUCAGGUGGCACUGAAAAAAUAUAUAUAUUAUUACACUAAGUGUUAAAGAAUUAUAUAUUUAUUUUUAAAUACUGUACUGAGAUAUAAUAUAUAGACCAGAAAAUUCAUCCUUUAGAAGUACACAGUUUGAUGGUUUGUAGACUAUUCACAAGGCUGCACAACCAUCGCAACUAUCUAAUUAAAGAACAUUUCAUAACCCCCAAGGGAAUCUAUCCCCAUUAGAGGUCCCCCCAUUCCUUCCAUCUCCCAGCUCCUGGAAACCACUAGUCUCCUUGAUGUCUCUGUGGACUUGCCUAUUCUGGACAUUUACUAUAGAUGGAAUCAUAAUAUAUAUGACUUUUCGUGACUAGUUUCUUUCAGUUAGUAUAAUGUUUUCAAGAUCAAGCCAUGUUUUGGCAUGUAUUAGUGCUUCAUUCUUUUUAUGGUUGAAUAAUAUUCCACUGCAUAGAUAUACUUUAUUUUGUUUUUCUAUCCAUCAAUCAGUGGGCAUUUGAGUGGUUUCAACUUUGGGGCUAUUAUUACAUUGCUCCUAUGAAAUUAAAAUACAAGUUUUUAUAUGAAUAUACAUUUUCACUGGGCUUGGGUAUAUAGUAGAAUUGCUGGGUCGUAUAUCUCUAUGUUUAAGUUUUGGAGGAGCUGCCAAAACUUUUCCACAGUGGCUGCACCAUUUUAACAUUCCUGGCAGCAAUGGACAGGGGUCUAAUCUCCCAUGUCCUUGUCAACAUUUGACGUUUUUGUUUUUGUUUUUUUGGCUGUGACCACAGCAUGCAGAGGUUCCUGGGCCAGGGAUCAAACCCUUGCCACAGCUGUAACCAAAGCCACAGCAGUGACAAUGCUGUAUCCUUAACCUCCUGAGACAUAAGGGAACUUUUUAUUUUAGUUACUAUAGUGGGUGUAAAGUGGUAUCUCAUUGUGAUUUUGUUGUUGUUGUUGUUGUUGUUGUUGCUAUUUCUUGGGCCGCUCCCGCGGCAUAUGGAGGUUCCCAGGCUAGGGGUUGAAUCGGAGCUGUAGCCCCCGGCCUACGCCAGAGCCACAGCAACGCGGGAUCCACGCCACAUCUGCAACCUACACCACAGCUCACGGCAACGCCGGAUCGUUAACCCACUGAGCAAGGGCAGGGACCUAACCCGCAACUUCAUGGCUCCUAGUCGGAUUCGUCAACCCCUGCGCCACGACGGGAACUCCUGUUUUUUUUUUUUUUUUUUUUUUUUUAUUGUGAUUUUGAUUUGCAUUUCCCUAAUGUCUAAUGAUUUUGAGCAUAUUUUCAUGUGCUAAUUUACCAUUGUAUAUCUUCUUUAGAGAUGUAUUUAUUCAAAUCCUUUAACCAUUUUAAAAUUAGGUUAAUUGUUUUUUUAUUGUUGAAUUGCAAAAAUUCUUUAUAAAUGAUGGACACUAGAUCCUUACUAGAUAUACAAUUUGCAAACGUAUUAUCCCAUCCUGUGGGUUGGUCUUCUCACUUUCUUGAUAGUGUUCUUUGAAGCAGGAAUAU